CAUCCAGAAUAUACCUUCUUUCUAAAAUAAAGAAAUUUUUAGAUAUAAAUGCAAGGAAAACAUAUAACAAUGGGUAUAUUCUUCCCUUAAUUGACUACUGCUGUAUUAUUUGGGGUGAAUGUAAAAAUGAAGGGAUAACAAGAAUUUUAAAACUCCAAAAAAGGGCAGCAAGAUUAAUUCUAGAUGCAGAUCCUUUAUCCCCCUCAGCCCCCUUCUUUAAAAACUUGGGUGGAUGACAGUUGACAAUAGAAUAAAAUACCACAAAUAUUUACUUCUAUAUAAAUGUAUGCGUAUGGAAGCACCAAUGUACCUAGUUCAAAAGUUUAAACUGAAAUCAGAUAAUAAUCCUUACUCCUUAAGAGGUGUCACUCAAGGUAAUCUGAUAGUUCCUAAGCCAAAAGCAGGGGUGUGGAAAUGCUAUGCCCGAC
rnacentral:lncRNA from 1 species